AAAGGGAGGGAAAGGUCCGAGGAUAGCUGGGAAUCCAAUCAACCAAUCACAUCACUGGACGCAGAAGCGGAAAUACAUGCAACGUGAUACGUGACCAUAGACAGUAUGUGACGUGCAUUGUAAACAAGUUUUGCUAGCUUGGGAAAGGAAUGCCAUUACAAGAGGCUUUUACUUGAAGCUCCAGGAUGCUGUGUGAAGUCCUGCUGUCAUCGCUAUGGUUCCUGUUCGUUAUCUUCUGGGUCGAGACAAUAAGUGUCUGGCUGUUUCUCUCCAUGUUCUACCAGGACCGGGUGUUUUACCACUGGGGAGAUGAGGUAUUUGCAGAUGAUCCUGGGCAGAUGAUAUACAUGUUGAGCAGG